rnacentral:tRNA from 1 species
GGAGAGGUCGGAUAAUGGUUAUUCCACCGGUUUGCUAAACCGGAGCCGCCUAACAGCGGCUUGUGGGUUCGAGUCCCACCCUCUCCGCCA